rnacentral:rRNA from 1 species
ACUCCUACGGGAGGCAGCAGUGGGGAAUAUUGCACAAUGGGCGCAAGCCUGAUGCAGCCAUGCCGCGUGUGUGAAGAAGGCCUUCGGGUUGUAAAGCACUUUCAGUUGUGAGGAAAGGUUAGUCGCUAAUAUCGGCUAGCUGUGACGUUAGCAACAGAAGAAGCACCGGCUAACGUCCGUGCCAGCAGCCGCGGGUAAUACGGAGGGUGCGAGCGUUAAUCGGAAUUACUGGGCGUAAAGCGCGUGUAGGUGGCUUGUUAAGCCAGAUGUGAAAGCCCCGGGCUCAACCUGGGAACUGCAUUUGGAACUGGCAGGCUAGAGUUUUGUAGAGGGUGGUAGAAUUUCAGGUGUAGCGGUGAAAUGCGUAGAGAUCUGAAGGAAUACCGGUGGCGAAGGCGACCACCUGGCCAAUAACUGACACUGAGACGCGAAGGCGUGGGUAGCAAACGGGAUUAGAUACCCUGGUAGCUCGAUGU